UACGGAGGGUGCAAACGUUGCUCGGAAUCAUUGGGCGUAAAGCGCACGUAGGCGGCACGUUAAGUCGGAUGUGAAAGCCCCGGGCUCAACCCGGGAAGUGCAUUCGAAACUGGCGCGCUUGAAUAUGGAAGAGGGUCGCGGAAUUCCCGGUGUAGAGGUGAAAUUCGUAGAUAUCAGGAGGAACACCGGUGGCGAAGGCGGGACUCUGGGCCGAUACUGACGCUGAGGAGCGAAAGCGUGGGGAGCAAACAGG
rnacentral:rRNA from 1 species